AGUGAACGCUGGCGGCGUGCCUAAUACAUGCAAGUCGAACGGAGUGGCGCACGGGUGAGUAAUGUAUAGCUAAUCUGCCCUACACUAGAGGACAACAGUUGGUAACAACUGCUAAUACUCUAUAGUGUAGGAUGAGGCUAUAUUUUAUCAGCUAGUUGGUGAGGUAAUGGCUCACCAAGGCUAUGACGAAUAACUAGUCUGAGAGGAUGAGCAGUCAACCUGGACCAGAGACACGGUCCAGAAUCCUACGGCAGGGAGCAGUAGGGAGAAUUACUCAAUGGGGGAAACCCUGAAGAGGCAUCGGGUCGUGAAGUAUGACACGUUGCGGAGCGUAAACUCCUUUUGUUAGGGAAACGGUACCUACCGAAGAAGCACCGGCUAACUCCGUGCCAGCAGCCGCGGUAAUAC
rnacentral:rRNA from 1 species